rnacentral:misc_RNA from 1 species
CAUAGCUGCUCCUUUGCCCAUUGCCAAUGCAACAUCUUGGUUGAUUUUUCCUCCACCUGUAUCUUCUGAGUUGAUCUUUUUUUCUAUUUCUGGUGCAUCACCACAUAUAGAAUGAAAAGGGAGAACACCUGAAGUACUUGAUCUGAGAAAAGUGGCCCGUAAUCCAUUCACAUAGGCAUCUGAAAACAGAAACCAGUCUGACCAUACUUGCAAUACCUUCAAAACUCGUUCCUUGAGGGCCUCAGCAGUGAUCCUCCC